rnacentral:rRNA from 1 species
UACGUAGGGGGCAAGCGUUAUCCGGAUUUACUGGGUGUAAAGGGAGCGUAGACGGUCCUGCAAGCCAGAUGUGAAAGCCCGGGGCUCAACCCCGGGACUGCAUUUGGAACUGUAAGGCUAGAGUGUCGGAGAGGCAGGCGGAAUUCCUAGUGUAGCGGUGAAAUGCGUAGAUAUUAGGAGGAACACCAGUGGCGAAGGCGGCCUGCUGGACGAUGACUGACGUUGAGGCUCGAAAGCGUGGGGAGCAAACAGG